rnacentral:rRNA from 1 species
CCUACGGGAGGCAGCAGUGGGGAAUAUUGCACAAUGGGGGAAACCCUGAUGCAGCGACGCCGCGUGAGUGAAGAAGUAUUUCGGUACGUAAAGCUCUAUCAGCAGGGAAGAAAAUGACGGUACCUGACUAAGAAGCCCCGGCUAACUACGUGCCAGCAGCCGCGGUAAUACGUAGGGGGCAAGCGUUAGCCGGAUUUACUGGGUGUAAAGGGAGCGUAGACGGCAGCGCAAGUCUGGAGUGAAAUCCCAUGGCUUAACCAUGGAACUGCUUUGGAAACUGUGCAGCUAGAGUGCAGGAGAGGUAAGCGGAAUUCCUAGUGUAGCGGUGAAAUGCGUAGAUAUUAGGAGGAACACCAGUGGCGAAGGCGGCUUACUGGACUGUAACUGACGUUGAGGCUCGAAAGCGUGGGGAGCAAACAGGAUUAGAUACCCCUGUAGUC